AGCGAACGCUGGCGGCAGGCCUAACACAUGCCAGUCGAACGAACCUUUCGGGGUUAGUGGCGGACGGGUGAGUAACACGUGGGAACGUGCCUUUAGGUUCGGAAUAACACAGGGAAACUUGUGCUAAUACCGAAUGUGCCCUUCGGGGGAAAGAUUAAUCGCCUUUAGAGCGGCCCGCGUCUGAUUAGCUAGUUGGUUGAGGUAAUGGCUCACCAAGGCGACGAUCAGUAGCUGGUCUGAGAGGAUGAUCAGCCACAUUGGGACUGAGACACGGCCCAAACUCCUACGGGAGGCAGCAGUGGGGAAUCUUGCGCAAUGGGCGAAAGCCUGACGCAGCCAUGCCGCGUGAAUGAUGAAGGUCUUAGGAUUGUAAAAUUCUUUCACCGGGGACGAUAAUGACGGUACCCGGAGAAGAAGCCCCGGCUAACUUCGUG
rnacentral:rRNA from 1 species